rnacentral:rRNA from 1 species
UACAGAGGGUGCGAGCGUUAAUCGGAAUUACUGGGCGUAAAGCGUGCGUAGACGGCUAUCUAAGUCGGGUGUGAAAGCCCCGGGCUCAACCUGGGAAUUGCAUUCGAGACUGAAUAGCUAGGGUGCGGUAGAGGGAAGCGGAAUUUCCGGUGUAGCGGUGAAAUGCGUAGAUAUCGGAAGGAACAUCAGUGGCGAAGCGGCUUCCUGGACCAGCACCGACGUUCAGGCACGAAAGCGUGGGGAGCAAACAGG